AACGAACGUUGGCGGCAUGCCUAACACAUGCAAGUCGAACGAGACCUUCGGGUCUAGUGGCGCACGGGUGCGUAACGCGUGGGAACCUGCCCUUAGGUUCGGAAUAACUCCCCGAAAGGGGUGCUAAUACCGGAUAAUGUCUUCGGACCAAAGAUUUAUCGCCUUUGGAUGGGCCCGCGUUGGAUUAGCUAGUUGGUAGGGUAAAAGCCUACCAAGGCGACGAUCCAUAGCUGGUCUGAGAGGAUGAUCAGCCACACUGGGACUGAGACACGGCCCAGACUCCUACGGGAGGCAGCAGUGGGGAAUAUUGGACACUGGGCGAAAGCCUGAUCCAGCAAUGCCGCGUGAGUGAUGAAGGCCUUAGGGUUGUAAAGCUCUUUUACCCGGGAUGAUAAUGACAGUACCGGGAGAAUAAGCUCCGGCUAACUCCGUG
rnacentral:rRNA from 1 species